rnacentral:lncRNA from 1 species
CCGGAGCGAAACAUCGCGAGCUACGGCCAGGCCGAGCCGCCGGUGUACGAGAUGUCCGGCAUCCCGGCGGGCUUCCCGCUCUUCCUCAGCUACGGCGGCCGGGACUCGCUCGCCGACCCCGCCGACGUGCGCCUCCUGCUGCAGGACCUCCGGGGCCACGACCGCGACAAGCUCACGGUGCAGUACCUUGACCAGUUCGCGCACCUCGACUUCAUCAUCGGCGUCUGCGCCAAGGACUACGUCUACAAGGACAUGAUCGCCUUCCUCAACCGCUUCAACUAGUAGUAGCUAUAGCUACUAGUUCAGUGACUGCCAUCUUCAGUCUUCCACUCACUGCAGG